rnacentral:rRNA from 1 species
AACGAACGUUGGCGGCGUGGAUUAGGCAUGCAAGUCGAACGAAUCCCACUGGCGUAGCAAUACGUUGGUGGGGGAAGUGGCGAAAGGGGCAGUAAGGCGUGGGUAACCUACCCCGGGGACGGGUAUAGCCGGUCUAACGACCGGGUAAUCCCCGGCGAUUCGAUCGAGGGGCCUCCCUUGGUCGGGAAAUGAGCUUCGCCUCGGGCGGGGCCCACGUGAUAUUAGCUAGUUGGUGAGGUAAUGGCUCACCAAGGCGAAGAUGCUAGCGGGUGUGAGAGCACGACCCGCGCCACUGGCACUGAGACACUGGCCAGACACCUACGGGUGGCUGCAGUCGAGGAUCUUCGGCAAUGGGCGCAAGCCUGACCGAGCGACGCCGCGUGAGCG